rnacentral:rRNA from 1 species
AUGAACGCUAGCUACAGGCUUAACACAUGCAAGUCGAGGGGCAGCAUGAACUUAGCUUGCUAAGUUUGAUGGCGACCGGCGCACGGGUGAGUAACACGUAUCCAACCUGCCGAUGACUCGGGGAUAGCCUUUCGAAAGAAAGAUUAAUACCCGAUGGCAUAGUUCUUCCGCAUGGUAGAACUAUUAAAGAAUUUCGGUCAUCGAUGGGGAUGCGUUCCAUUAGGUUGUUGGCGGGGUAACGGCCCACCAAGCCUUCGAUGGAUAGGGGUUCUGAGAGGAAGGUCCCCCACAUUGGAACUGAGACACGGUCCAAACUCCUACGGGAGGCAGCAGUGAGGAAUAUUGGUCAAUGGACGAGAGUCUGAACCAGCCAAGUAGCGUGAAGGAUGACUGCCCUAUGGGUUGUAAACUUCUUUUAUACGGGAAUAAAGUGAGGCACGUGUGCCUUUUUGUAUGUACCGUAUGAAUAAGGAUCGGCUAACUCCGUGCCAGCAGCCGCGGUAAUACGGAGGAUCCGAGCGUUAUCCGGAUUUAUUGGGUUUAAAGGGAGCGUAGGCGGACGCUUAAGUCAGUUGUGAAAGUUUGCGGCUCAACCGUAAAAUUGCAGUUGAUACUGGGUGUCUUGAGUACAGUAGAGGCAGGCGGAAUUCGUGGUGUAGCGGUGAAAUGCUUAGAUAUCACGAAGAACUCCGAUUGCGAAGGCAGCCUGCUGGACUGUAACUGACGCUGAUGCUCGAAAGUGUGGGUAUCAAACAGGAUUAGAUACCCUGGUAGUCCACACAGUAAACGAUGAAUACUCGCUGUUUGCGAUAUACAGUAAGCGGCCAAGCGAAAGCGUUAAGUAUUCCACCUGGGGAGUACGCCGGCAACGGUGAAACUCAAAGGAAUUGACGGGGGCCCGCACAAGCAGUGGAGUAUGUGGUUUAAUUCGAAGCAACGCGAAGAACCUUACCAGGGCUUGACAUAUACAGGAAUAAUCAAGAGAUUGGUUAGCUCUUCGGAGUCUGUAUACAGGUGGUGCAUGGUUGUCGUCAGCUCGUGUCGUGAGAUGUUGGGUUAAGUCCCGCAACGAGCGCAACCCCUGUCCUUAGUUGCCAGCAUGUAGAGAUGGGAACUCUAAGGAGACUGCCGUAGAUAAUACGGAGGAAGGUGGGGAUGACGUCAAAUCAUCAUGCCCUUUAUGUCUUGGGCUACACACGUACUACAAUGGCUAUAACAAAGAGAAGCGAGACAGUGAUGUGGAGCAAAACUCAAAAAAAUAGUCUCAGUUCGGAUUGAAGGCUGAAAUUCGCCUUCAUGAAGCUGGAAUUGCUAGUAAUGGCAGGUCAGCAUACUGCCGUGAAUACGUUCCCGGGCCUUGUACACACCGCCCGUCACACCAUGAGAGUUGGGAAUACCCGAAGCCUGUAAGCUAACGCAAGAGGCAGCAGUCGAAGGUAGAAUCAAUGAUUGGGGUG